CUCUGAUAUUUUGGAGGAGAGACUGAGAAAGAGAGAAAGUGAGAGAUCGAGGGAGAAGAAGCAGAUCCAGGUAGUUGUUGUUUGCAUUGUUACGGUUUAUAUUAUAUAGAGUGUCACCUUAUGUAUAAGCGUGUAAUUAGCAUCAAUCUUUAGGUGUGAUAUUAGUAAAACCCCCUCCCACCCUAAAAAUACAAAAUACAAAGGAAAUAGCUUAAAUUAAAAUAUAUAGUAUUGUUAGGAUUAAUUUAUUUGACUAUUUCAAAUUUUUAUUUAGAAAUUUAGACAACAUGUGCCACUAUUUUUUUUCCCCACUUUAACUAAAUACAUAGUAAAAAAUUAACGUUGAUCUUGCAAUUCUAACCACUCAUAAUUGAUUUUCAAAUUUGAAUUAGCCUAAAAAGUAAACCGGGUUAAACCCCCUUCCACCCAAAAAAAAAAAAAAAUAAAAAAAAAAUUGAUGCUCACUUGCUGUCUUGCUCACCUUGUUCUUUCUCUCUUUGACUCUUGUCUUUCUUCAUCUUCCUCGUUCCUAUCGGGUUUUCAUUGCAUUGUUCAACUUUUCCCGCCUUUUCCUUCCUCCACAUCUCCAGUCCUUCAUUCUCUUUUUCUCUAAAAUUUCCGCAAUCAAUCAAGUCUCGUACAAGUAUGGAGCGCAAAGGGCUGGUCUUCAACUUCAAUUCAGGUCUCGUCAACAUUUUAUUCAAAAAUUAAAUCCUUUAUACGAGCCUACUGCCUACUGUAAAUCCUCCAAAGGGGAUGCACUUGGCUCCUUUGACAUGUUCCAUGUGAAGUGAUAAAGCAACAUAUGCAGGUUCGGAUAAUGAUUAAUUUUUGAAAUAUUGUGAUCUCAAAGGCUCAGUGUGGUAAGAGUGCGUAUGUAGCUGAUCUUGCACCUCUUUUGAAGUUUUAUCACUUUCUUUUACUCAAGAUUCUAGUAAUCUUUAUUAAUUUAUUUAUUUUAAAACAUUUACAACUUUCUAUCAUGUUCCUUUUUUAUUUUUAAUCUCUUUAUUCAAAGGAGACCAAACAUUUCUUCAAAGAAAAAUUGCUACUGUUGAAUUUUGUAGGUUAGCUUUUGAUAAAAAAAUUAGUUAAGCAUAAUAAUUGUUCGUUUUAUUACACAUUAUUUUGCUGUGGUUUUGCUUCGUUGUAAUAAUUUCAUUUAAAACCUUUCCCACUAGCAACAUAAUUCAGGAAUUGAUAGAUGGGAAAAUCUUAUUUAUGGAACUUAUAUAGUGGGUAUUUGAAAUUUGAUGUGGGUUACAGUGAAGGUAUGAUCUUUAAUAUUAUAGCAUGUAGAAGUUUGAAAAUUUAUCGGAAUUGAAUUUCUUUAAUUUGAUUCACUUUUAUUUUGAAAUUUAUUUUACUAUUAAUCUUUGUUGAUUUAACAUGACAUCGACAAAGUGUUUUGAAACUUGGGUAUUGCAGUUUGAUCUUAGUGUGCCUGUGUUUUGAAAAUUUUUGUUUGGGAAUUUGAAGUUUUUAGUAGAUUAUCUUUAUAGUGUUGACUCAUUGAAUGUGUUAAUGCUAAUACAUAGUAGCUUUUAUAAGUUAUAAGCUAAACAUGUGAUUGUGUUGGGUUUUGAUGGGAUAUAUAUUGACAUAUGUGUUAAUAGUGUGUUGUAGCUUCUUAAUUUAGGCACAUUAUUGAAAUUUGUUGCAUCAAUUGAGAGGUAUAAUGAUGAUAUUCUUUGCAACAGGCAUUCCAGACCAGCAGAGGCUCAUCUUUGCCGGAAAGCAGCUUGAAGAUUGCUGAACUCUUGUUGACUACAGCAUUCAAAAGGGUGCUAUGCUCGCCUGCAUCCUCGUGCUGAACUGCAGGAAGAAGAUAUGUGGCCACAGCAACCAGUUGAGGCCAAAGAAGAAGAUCAAGUAGAGCGACCAGUUGUUUGCAGCUAAUGAUCGGGCUACAGUUUCCAUGGUGUCGGUGUUCGCCCUGUUCGGACUAAGCUGUUAAACUAUGGCUUGUAAGUUGUAAGGGUUAACUCAAAUUAGUUUUAAAACAUUUGAUCUUUUACUUCUAGUAGUAUUACUAUAUUUAUAUCUUUAAAUAUGGCGUACAUCUUCCCUAGUAGUCUUAUUUGUCCAGAAAUCAGAUACUUUUGUUGCCUUUGGUUAUUGAAUAUUCA